rnacentral:rRNA from 1 species
UGGGGAAUAUUGGACAAUGGGCGAAAGCCUGAUCCAGCCAUGCCGCGUGUGUGAAGAAGGUCUUCGGAUUGUAAAGCACUUUAAGUUGGGAGGAAGGGCAGUAAGCGAAUACCUUGCUGUUUUGACGUUACCGACAGAAUAAGCACCGGCUAACUCUGUGCCAGCAGCCGCGGUAAUACAGAGGGUGCAAGCGUUAAUCGGAAUUACUGGGCGUAAAGCGCGCGUAGGUGGUUCGUUAAGUUGGAUGUGAAAGCCCCGGGCUCAACCUGAGAACUGCAUCCAAAACUGGCGAGCUUGAGUUAGGCUGAGGGUGGUGGAAUUUCCCGUGUAGCGGUGAAAUGCGUAGAUAUAGGAAGGAACACCAGUGGCGAAGGCGACCACCUGGGCUCAUACUGACACUGAGGUGCGAAAGCGUGGGGAGCAAACAGG